rnacentral:lncRNA from 1 species
AUGAUUUGAGUGUGUUCAGAUCGUUUCUUAUUGGUGCCUGUGUUGAGCACGAUAUGUCUUAGGCCGGUGUUGAGGUGUCAUAUCACCAGAUUGGCGUGUUGUAGUUGAGAUGAUCGUUGGAGUCAUUGCUGAGUACGAGCAUAUUUGAUUUCAUCCUGUUAGAAAGGUAAUAUCGAGAUUUCAGCCUGGGCAGAAGGGUUUUAAUAAUAUUUUAUUUCGUGGGCCUAAGUUAUUUUCCACCAUUGUUGAUAAUUUUGAGAGCUCUUGGACUGGAAUUGAAGAGGGAUUCGAAGAGGCAUGAUUGGAGGUAAGAUUUUUAAACUUAAAACUCGAUUAUAUUGUGAAAUUGACCUAGACAUUCAUGGAAAUUAGCUAAAAUGGAAGAGCUAGGGCGUGAGACUUUGCAAUUUGAUUUGAGGAUUUGAUGGGCCAUUUGAGUUCGGAUUUGAGAGUUCUUGGUAUGUAUGAACUCGUGGGAAGAUGAGGAACUUAUUGAUGUAAAAAUUUCUGAGUUUCGAGAAGUGGGCUCGGAUUUUUGUAAUUUUGGAAUUUGUGCCCGUAUUUGAUUGUUUUCGCUUGGGCUUUGUUCCCUUAGCAUAUUGUGAUGUAUUAGCUCUGAUUUUGGUUAGAUUUGACGCGUGUGGAGGCCUAUUUGAGGAGCAAAGGCGUCGUGGUCUAGAGAUUUUGCCGGUUCGGGGUGAGUAAUGAUUGUAAUAAUAUCUUGAGGGUUUGAAACCCCGGAUUUGCACAUCGUAAUGCUAUAGUGAGGUGAGACACACGCUGGAUGACAAGCAUGGAGUAACUAUUGGGGGAUUGUGACUUGGUCCAUCCCGAGUGAUGUUUUUACCAUGUUUUCUACUUGAACUAAAUUGAGAAUCAUCCUUACUUGGAUUUAAUUGUUACAUUUGGGCUUCUUGCUAAUUAUCUAAAUCCUCCAUGGAUUGAUAUCCUUGUUUUCGCAUAUUUUGCAUAUCAUUUAAUCUCAGUCCAAGGUUUUAAAUACUGUUUUGCAAACUCAACCAUCUUUUCUAAGAUUUGAAAACUUAAAUGAUAUUUCUAAUUAAUAUUUCGGGAUGAGAACUACUGUUUUACAAAUGCCCAAGGGGAUUAUGAUGAUUUCUGGAUUGAGCAUGGAUCGGGUUGUGCGCCGCAACAAUGUUAUAUUGAUAUUGAAGCUGAGAGUCUUGUUGAUAAAUUGAUAUUGAGGUCGAGAGACUGGUUGAUGACAUUGAUAUUGAGUCCGAGAGCCUGGUUGAUUACAUCGAUAUUGAGGUUGAGACCCUAGAUUUGAUGCCACGAGAUGGCUUGAUAUUGCUCUUGGGCUGUAGGAGCCCCUUCAGAGUCUGUAUACACCCCCAGUGAGUGCCGUCAAUGAUAAAUAAAUAUGAGUGGCUCGGGCUACAUGCCGCAGUGGGUAAUGGGAUGUACCAUCAUAUGUAUUGCAUUGUAUUGAUGCAUUUGUUCAUAAUUCGUUAUUUGAGCUAUUUCUUGUGAUAUUUAUCAGUUGUUCUGGUAUUAUCUGAUCACACCUAAAGAAGAUAAAUUUUAGACAGUGGUAAUAAUGACACUGUAUGAUGUGUUUGGUCAGGUAAAAAUGACUGACCGGGAAUAACAUCAUGCGGUCAUGUAACAAUGGCUGAUCAGGAACAAGAAUAUUGCCCGAGGGGCGAGUUUUUAUUUUUUUAUUUUGCAUACUUAAUUGCCCAUCACUUGUUAUACUAUGGUAUUUGUGCCCGAGGGGCGGGUUCCUGUGCAUAGCGGCACUAAUUGUUUGAAAUUAUUUUCGCAACUGUUGACAAGACCAUUUUCAAAAGAGGUAUAAAACUGAGCCAAGAUAUUUUUAAAGAUUUCAUAGUUUCACUGAUUUUCUCAAAGAGUUUUACAUUGCUUAUAUACAACAUGAUGAUAUGUUAUACGUGAUUUCUUACUGCUUAGUUAUUAUUUACAUUUAUUACUCACUGAUUUGGAAUACUUACUUUACUCCUUGCACCUCGUGUCCAGAUGCAGGUAUCUAUUCACCCGAUGCGGGUUUGGGCCGAUCAGAGGCAGAGUUACAUGAGUUAAGGAGGUGACUGCCAGCGUUCGAAGCACCAUAUUUUUCCCUCUUUUGUUCAUUAUUCCGGUUUUGUCUAUUUUAGGACUUGUAGUGGAAUUACAUCUGAUAGAUUCUCGUGACUUCUGACACCCCGAUUUCGGUCUGUGUCGGAAUGGUUCCCUAUUUUAUUACUUUUCUUCCAUACAUAUGAUAAUGUUAUUAAUGUUUUAAACUUAUUCAUGC